rnacentral:rRNA from 1 species
UACGUAGGGCGCAAGCGUUGUCCGGAAUUAUUGGGCGUAAAGAGCUCGUAGGCGGUCCGUCACGUCUGCCGUGAAAACCCGGGGCUCAACUUCGGGCUUGCGGUCGAUACGGGCGGGCUAGAGUUCGGUAGGGGAGACUGGAAUUCCUGGUGUAGCGGUGAAAUGCGCAGAUAUCAGGAGGAACACCGGUGGCGAAGGCGGGUCUCUGGGCCGAUACUGACGCUGAGGAGCGAAAGCGUGGGGAGCGAACAGG